GACGAACGCUGGCGGCGUGCCUAAUACAUGCAGGUAGAACGCACAGUUUAUACCGUAGCUUGCUACACCAUAGACUGUGAGUUGCGAACGGGUGAGUAACGCGUAGGUAACCUGCCUGGUAGCGGGGGAUAACUAUUGGAAACGAUAGCUAAUACCGCAUAAUAUUAAUUAUUGCAUGAUAAUUAAUUGAAAGGUGCAAUUGCACCACUACCAGAUGGACCUGCGUUGUAUUAGCUAGUAGGUGAGGUAACGGCUCACCUAGGCGACGAUACAUAGCCGACCUGAGAGGGUGAUCGGCCACACUGGGACUGAGACACGGCCCAGACUCCUACGGGAGGCAGCAGUAGGGAAUCUUCGGCAAUGGACGAAAGUCUGACCGAGCAACGCCGCGUGAGUGAAGAAGGUUGUCGGAUCGUAAAGCUCUGUUGUAAGAGAAGAACGGGUGUGAGAGUGGAAAGUUCACACUGUGACGGUAUCUUACCAGAAAGGGACGGCUAACUACGUG
rnacentral:rRNA from 1 species